AGCUCCAAUAGCGUAUAUUAAAGUUGUUGCAGUUAAAAAGCUCGUAGUUGGAUUUCUGAUCAGAUUUCCCGGUCCUGCGCUGUGCGCUGUGUACCGAGUGAGAUGUGAUCAUCCUUGUGGAGAUGCACGUUUGGCAUUAAUUUGUCGGCGUGUGGAACCACAUCGUUUACUGUGAAAAAUUAGAGUGUUCAAAGCAGGCUUAGGCUGUGAAUACAUUAGCAUGGAAUAAUAAGAUAGGACUUUGGUUCUAUUUUGUUGGUUGGAGGCCAAGGUAAUGAUUAAUAGGGAUAGUUGGGGGUAUUCAUAUUUAAUUGUCAGAGGUGAAAUUCUUGGAUUUAUGAAAGAUGAACUUAUGCGAAAGCAUUUACCAAGGAUGUUUUCA
rnacentral:rRNA from 1 species